rnacentral:lncRNA from 1 species
GAAGGGGUGAAACGGACCUCGAUGGCGCGGGCUAAGAAAGAUGGUGCGAGGGCCAAAACGUCAUCUUGGAGGUCAGGUUUGAGCCCACCCAGGAAGACCCCGAGAAGUUGGGAUUCAAACCAUCCCUGAGCUCGACAAGACAACCGGAUAAAGUCAUUGAUGUAAGCCUCCAGUGGGCCUUUUUAAGUGACAUGAGAAAAAGACAUGUUGAAGUCGAGGUGGUCGCUCGGCCCAAACCGUUGGAAAAGGGAGUCUGCAAAGAUGGCCCAAAGCCCAGACCUAAUAUGCAACUUGUACCAUUUAAAC